AUUGAACGCUGGCGGCAGGCUUAACACAUGCAAGUCGAACGCCCCGCAAGGGGAGUGGCAGACGGGUGAGUAACGCGUGGGAAUCUACCCAUCCCUACGGAACAACUCCGGGAAACUGGAGCUAAUACCGUAUACGCCCUUAGGGGGAAAGAUUUAUCGGGGAUGGAUGAGCCCGCGUUGGAUUAGCUAGUUGGUGGGGUAAAGGCCUACCAAGGCGACGAUCCAUAGCUGGUCUGAGAGGAUGAUCAGCCACAUUGGGACUGAGACACGGCCCAAACUCCUACGGGAGGCAGCAGUGGGGAAUAUUGGACAAUGGGCGCAAGCCUGAUCCAGCCAUGCCGCGUGAGUGAUGAAGGCCUUAGGGUUGUAAAGCUCUUUCACCGAUGAAGAUAAUGACGGUAGUCGGAGAAGAAGCCCCGGCUAACUUCGUGCCAGCCGCCGCGGUAAUAC
rnacentral:rRNA from 1 species